rnacentral:rRNA from 1 species
CCUGAUGACCAUAGCGAGGUGGUCCCACUCCUUCCCAUCCCGAACAGGACAGUGAAACGCCUCAGCGCCGAUGAUAGUGCGGAUUCCCGUGUGAAAGUAGGACAUCGUCAGGCAGUUAUUCCCCCGAAACCCCCUCACUCCCAGCGAGUGCAGGGGGUUUAGGCUUUUACACGACCCCAAAAAAACACCGCCCCAGCCUCCCGCCGGGGAACCGCAGGUAC